UACGGGGGGGGGCAAGCGUUUGUUCGGAAUUACUGGGCGUAAAGGCUCGUAGGCGGCAACUAAGUUGGAUGUGAAAUCCCCAGGCUCAACCUGGGAACUGCAUCCGAUACUGGAUGGCUUGAAUUCGGGAGAGGGAUGCAGAAUUCCAGGUGUAGCGGUGAAAUGCGUAGAUAUCUGGAGGAAUACCGGUGGCGAAGGCGGCAUCCUGGACCGACAUUGACGCUGAGGAGCGAAAGCCAGGGGAGCAAAGCGGG
rnacentral:rRNA from 1 species